UAGGAAGCAAGCGUUGUCCGGAAUGACUGGGCGUAAAGGGUGCGUAGGCGGUUUCUUAAGUCCGAUGUGAAAUCCUAUGGCUUAACCAUAAAACUGCAUUAGAUACUGGGAAGCUGGAGUGCGGAAGAGGUUGACGGAAUUACUAGUGUAGCGGUGGAAUGCGUAGAUAUUAGUAAGAAGACCGGUGGCGAAGGCGGUCAACUGGGACGUAACUGACGCUGAGGCACGAAAGCGUGGGGAGCAAA
rnacentral:rRNA from 1 species